rnacentral:rRNA from 1 species
GUGUCAGCCGCCGCGGUAAGACGGAGGGUGCAAGCGUUGUUCGGAUUGACUGGGCGUAAAGGGCGUGUAGGCGGUCGGCCAAGUCUGAUGUGAAAGCCCGAGGCUCAGCCUCGGAAGUGCGUCGGAAACUAGUCGGCUGGAGCGCGAUAGAGGAGGGUGGAAUUCCUGGUGUAGCGGUGAAAUGCGUAGAUAUCAGGAGGAACACCGGCGGCGAAGGCGGCCCUCUGGAUCGUUGCUGACGCUGAUACGCGAAAGCGUGGGGAGCAAACAGGAUUAGAAACCCUCGUAGUCC